CAAAGAGGGCUUGUGUUCUUCUGCCUAAUUGCAGGCUGCAUCCUGUGUCGGCACCCCCAUGGGACUGCAGAGAACGGGAAAUAGAAAUGCACAUCUCUGCACCAACAUCGGGGAAAUGAUCAUUCCUGGGAGAUGAAAAUCUGCACAUGGCACCGUAAGCCUAACAUCUGUGUCUGGAGGCUGCAAUCGCCUGAGUCUAGCCAGGAGAAAAUGCAGAAACUCUGCUUGGUCUUUUCUCCAUUGACUGUGACAACCAAAAUAAGUGACUGAGACGUAAGUCUCAAUUAUCGAGGUUUAUGAAGACACCUGCUUUAGGGUGCGUCUGGGAAAAACAAGAGCUACAGACACAUCUGUGGCUGUUUCUCUGAAGAGGUUUUCAGGAGAGUUAGUAUUUAUUUGUACAUUUCCUUAAACGGGGGAAAGGAAUGUAAGAAGAGAGGCAGGUAGGCAGUAAAACACUCCUCUGAGACUUUAGUUACUGCCCAGUGAAUUUUACAUAAGGUGAAUGUCUGAAGAGAAAAAGGGGAUAAAGAAAGAGGUGAUUAUGCAGAUGUCUCUGGGUAGGUGGAGGAAUGACUGAUCACAUCCUGUCUUUUCUCUGCACCUGGAAAAAUAAGCUUGUAAUCAACAGUAUCAGUGUGGAAUCAACAGACUUUACUCUUAUGAUCUGGACUUAGAUUAUAGGCCUAAAGUUACACUUGGUAUGCCCUGUUUAUGGGAGGCCAGCAAAGCAUUUACUUAUGAAUGAUUGGUGGGGCAGCCCUUCCAGAUGCCCGAGGCCUUUUCCUUUCCAUGGGGAUUUGGCUGAAGCAUGAUGUUAGUAACAGCCAUGCAUUUGGAAGAAAGGGUUGCAUGACUCAGCCUCCGGGCUCAAGCUUCCCUUUUGAAGUUUGGGAGUCUUGAAGAUUUUUUAUUUUCCUUUACAACUGCAAAGCAACAAGGGGCCUGCUGCCUGGCUAUGGAGACCCAGCCUUGGGGAGGCAGUGCUGCAUGGAGGACCGGCAAUGCCAUCUUCCUGCCUGGUGUGUGGACUUUCUUGAGGAAACAUCCAUGGUGCUGAAGGCUAGGGCACCCUCCCUGAGCUCCUGUAGAGACCUCCCUGGGCUCCCAAACUGGCCUUCACUUUUGCUUCCCACGCCCAGGCAACAGAAGCAGAGCAAGUCUCUCUUGUCACCUCAGGGUUAACUUUGGACACCUUUCAUUUCACCCCACAAAGGCCCUUGCUGUGCCUUUGCUUCCUCAGUGCCUUCUGCCUAUGACAGCUGUAGGCAUCAGUGUAAACUGGAUUGUGCACUAGGCACAAAUGGACACAAGUUAUUUCUGGAUGUGGAUGAUGAAAUACCAUGGUCCUGCUCCCUGCUCAGAACGUUCAGAUGAAACCAACGCACACUGGACCACCGUGCCUGCAGCCCAAGUUCUGGUGAGGAAUGUUCUGGGGGAGUGAAGAGAACCAUAGAGGAGACUGGUGAAGGUUUUGAGAUCAUUGGUGGGCUCUCAUGGGCAACUUUGUUGGGGCGAGGCUGCUGGCAUGAGGAGGCUGGCCGGGCAGGGAGAGGACCUGCUGUGAGUGCCUCCUCCAGGAGGCUACUGGCCGGGGAGUCCCAGGCUCCACCUCCAAGACUCACACAUCUUGGAGACCAUGAGCAAGGCUACAGUGGAGCAGGUGACCACAUCCAGGCAGCACACUAGCCUUUUCUGUCUCCAAUCACCUGCUGGGCUUCCUCUGCCUCUUGGCAAAUCAAAGACGCCAACUUAAAUUUACCUCUUCAAGGAGAAGAGCGGGCAGCCUAACUCUCU
rnacentral:lncRNA from 10 species